CUAGUGUGUUCCUAGCGGGUUCCUUCUCUCGACUCCAUUCCCCAGGAGGGGAGAGGACCCUGUAAGAGCCUGGCCUGGACAGUGGGAAACAGAAGAUGGAAUGAUCACGAUGGACCCAGAGAGCAGGGCCUGCAAACGCUGCACACAACGCCGGCAGCAGAAGGCGAAAGACAGAAAGCCAGCCAGGCGGAAGAGGCUGUAACGAGGAAGGAUGAAAGAGGGAAUUCCUAGAAGAGAAUGAUUGGAUUCCAAGUCUGUGCCACGCUGAAUUUCUAACAGGACACAGCAACUAGGGGUGACCUAAUCAGCAUGCACGUAUCAUACCCAGAGUCCCACACCUGUCGUCUAAAUCCUACAUGUGCACGCUCAAGUAUUUGGUAGUCCCGGCCUGACCACAGCGGGUGGGGCGAGCAGAGGAGAAAGAGGAGGAGUCCCGGGGGCAGCUGGCUCCAAGGGUGGAAGUCAGGGGGCUUGCAGAGGGCAAAGAGAAUCCUUAGGGAUCCCCCGAGAGAGACUCCUGUUCAGGGGGAUCCCUGGGAGCACUCAUCUUGCUGCCAGAAAUCAAUCACUCCAUCAGUCAUGUUGGUUGCCGAAUGAGUAGUACCCUCCUUGCGUCCCCCCACUGUCCUGCCACUGUCUAAUUUAAUUCUGUGGAUGCUCCCAGGGCCUGGCCCUAAACAGAGCCCUCCCCAGGAGGGCUUUAUCUCUGAUGGGAUCCUUUGCAAGGUGCAGACUCAGCGAAGCAGAUCCUGGGUGGUGUGGACUUCCUAGUCCUGCCAACCAAUGCCCAAAAAGGAAGGAGGCUCACGGGGCCAGCUCAGCCCAACUUCCCACUCACAGCAGGGACCCAACAGUGUGGCUGCUUCCACAAACACUUCUCAGACUGCCCGGUGCUUUUUCUAGACCUGUCCUCUCCAAGGCUGCCCUGGGACUUCAUAUCAAGAUGCAGGAGGGGGAGUUUGAGGGGUCGGGCUAGGUCAUCA
rnacentral:lncRNA from 1 species